rnacentral:misc_RNA from 1 species
GAUGAAGAACGUAGCGAAAUGCGAUAAGUAAUGUGAAUUGCAGAAUUCAGUGAAUCAUCGAAUCUUUGAACGCACAUUGCGCUCCCUGGUAUUCCGGGGAGCAUGCCUGUUCGAGCGUCAUUACAACCCUCAAGCUCUGCUUGGUGUUGGGGCUUGCUGUAAUAGAGCAGCCCUUAAAAUCAGUGGCGGUGCCAUUAGGCUCUAAGCGUAGUAAUUCUUCUCGCUAUAGGGUCCCGGUGGAUGCUCGCCAUCAACCCCAAACUUUCUAUGGUUGACCUCGGAUCAGGUAGGGAUACCCGCUGAACUUAAGCAUAUCAAUAAGCGGAGGA